UUAAAGUUGUUGCAGUUAAAAAGCUCGUAGUUGAACCUUGGGCCUGGUUGGCCGGUCCGCCUCACCGCGUGCACUGGUCCGACCGGGUCUUUCCUUCUAGAGAACCUCAUGCCCUUCACUGGGUGUGCUGGGGAACUAGGACUUUUACUUUGAAAAAAUUAGAGUGUUCAAAGCAGGCCUAUGCUCGAAUACAUUAGCAUGGAAUAAUA
rnacentral:rRNA from 1 species